rnacentral:rRNA from 1 species
CAGUCGCCACGGGAACACCGAGGGUGCAAGCGUUAAUCGGAAUUACUGGGCGUAAAGCGCGCGUAGGUGGUUUGUUAAGUUGGAUGUGAAAUCCCCGGGCUCAACCUGGGAACUGCAUCCAAAACUGGCAAGCUAGAGUAGGGCAGAGGGUGGUGGAAUUUCCUGUGUAGCGGUGAAAUGCGUAGAUAUAGGAAGGAACACCAGUGGCGAAGGCGACCACCUGGACUGAUACUGACACUGAGGUGCGAAAGCGUGGGGAGCAAACAGGAUUAGAUACCCCAGUAGUCCCUGUCUCUUAUAC